rnacentral:rRNA from 1 species
UACGUAGGGGGCGAGCGUUGUCCGGAUUUAUUGGGCGUAAAGAGCGUGUAGGCGGCCAUGUAGGUCCGUUGUGAAAACUCGAGGCUCAACCUCGAGACGCCGAUGGAAACCAUGUGGCUAGAGUCCGGAAGAGGAGAGUGGAAUUCCUGGUGUAGCGGUGAAAUGCGCAGAUAUCAGGAAGAACACCCGUGGCUAAGGCGGCUCUCUAGUACGGUACUGACGCUGAGACACGAAAGCGUGGGGAGCGAACAGG